rnacentral:rRNA from 1 species
UGGGGAAUUUGGACAAUGGCGAAAGCCUGAUCCAGCAAUGCCGCGUGUGUGAAGAAGGCCUUCGGGUUGUAAAGCACUUUUGUCCGGAAAGAAAUCCUUGGCUCUAAUACAGUCGGGGGAUGACGGUACCGGAAGAAUAAGCACCGGCUAACUACGUGCCAGCAGCCGCGGUAAUACNUAGGGUGCAAGCGUUAAUCGGAAUUACUGGGCGUAAAGCGUGCGCAGGCGGUUUGCUAAGACCGAUGUGAAAAUCCCCGGGCUCAACCUGGGAACUGCAUUGGUGACUGGCAGGCUAGAGUAUGGCAGAGGGGGGUAGAAUUCCACGUGUAGCAGUGAAAAUGCGUAGAGAUGUGGAGGAAUACCGAUGGCGAAGGCAGCCCCUGGCAAGUCACUGACGCUCAUGCACGAAAAGCGUGGGGAGCAAAA